ensembl:lncRNA
CCCCCUUCACCUGUUAAAUGAUUCUCUUCCCCUCUCUCCCCCUUCACCUGUUAAAUGAAUCCCAUGUCUCUUCCCCUCUCUCCCCCCUUCACCUGUUGAAUGAUUCCCAUGUCUCUCCCCCUGUUACAGGGAACAAAAAUGAUAUAGUGAGUCUUCACUUUCUGGUUCUCCUCAAGGCUCAAAGCCUCUCGAUCCACUCAGAUAUCCAAAACCUAGUGGUUUUCUGUUCAGGUUGCUUGUUAUCUCAUUACAGGACUUUAUCAGCCAAUAAAAACACAAAUAUCUUAUAACACAGUUGAUGUCCAUAUUAGAGAAGACAGCUGUAGGAUGGAUGGGCAACCUCUGAUACAGGUGAGGUGUUAGUUUGGACAGGGCAGGUGAGGUGUUAGUUUGGGCAGGACAGGUGAGGUGUUAGUUUGGGCAGGACAGGUGAGGUGUUAGUUUGGACAGGACAGGUGAGGUGUUAGUUUGGACAGGACAGGUGAGGUGUUAGGUUUUUUUUUUAGAUAUGACCUAUAUAUCACAACAUCCCAGUGUAACCUUGUCCCUGCCUGGAUACAGUAGUACAGUACCUUUAGAUAUGACCUAUAUAUCACAACAUCCCAGUGUAACCUUGUCCCUGUCUGGAUACAGUAGUACAGUACCUUUAGAUAUGACCUAUAUAUAACAACAUCCCAGUGUGACCUUGUCCCUGUCUGGAUACAGUAGUACAGUACCUUUUUAGAUAUGACCUAUAUAUCACAACAUCCCAGUGUAACCUUGUCCCUGUCUGGAUACAGUAGUACAGUACCUUUAGAUAUGACCUAUAUAUCACAACAUCCCAGUGUGACCUUGUCCCUGUCUGGAUACAGUAGUACAGUACCUUUUUAGAUAUGACCUAUAUAUCACAACAUCCCAGUGUAACCUUGUCCCUGUCUGGAUACAGUAGUACAGUACCUUUAGAUAUGACCUAUAUAUCACAACAUCCCAGUGUAACCUUGUCCCUGUCUGGAUACAGUAGUACAGUACCUUUAGAUAUGACCUAUAUAUCACAACAUCCCAGUGUGACCUUGUCCCUGUCUGGAUACAGUAGUACAGUACCUUUAGAUAUGACCUAUAUAUCACAACAUCCCAGUGUAACCUUGUCCCUGUCUGGAUACAGUAGUACAGUACCUUUAGAUAUGACCUAUAUACCACAACAUCCCAGUGUAACCUUGUCCCUGCCUGGAUACAGUAGUACAGUACCUUUAGAUAUGACCUAUAUAUCCGUCUGCUUCCCAAAUAACACCUUAUUCCCUUUAUAGUGCACAACUUUACAUCAGAGACCUAUGAGCCAAUUGGGAAGCGGCCUGUGUGUUCUGUCUCACCUGAGGUGUGUGUUUGUUCUGUCUCACCUGAGGUGUGUGUGUGUGUUCUGUCUCACCUGAGGUGUGUGUGUGUGUUCUGUCUCACCUGAGGUGUGUGUGUGUGUUCUGUCUCACCUGAGGUGUGUGUGUGUUCUGUCUCACCUGAGGUGUGUGUGUGUGUGUUCUGUCUCUCCUGAGGUGUGUGUGUGUUCUGUCUCACCUGAGGUGUGUGUUUGUUCUGUCUCACCUGAGGUGUGUGUGUGUGUGUUCUGUCUCUCCUGAGGUGUGUGUGUUCUGUCUCACCUGAGGUGUGUGUGUGUGUUCUGUCUCACCUGAGGGGUGUGUGUGUGUGUUCUGUCUCACCUGAGGGGUGUGUGUGUGUUCUGUCUCUCCUGAGGUGUGUGUGUGUGUUCUGUCUCACCUGGGGGGUGUGUGUUCUGUCUCACCUGAGGGGUGUGUGUGUGUUCUGUCUCACCUGAGGGGUGUGUGUGUGUUCUGUCUCACCUGAGGUGUUUAUU